AUACUUGCCUGGCAGGGGAGAUACCAUGAUCAGGAGGGUGGUUUUCCCAGGGCGAGGCUCAUGCACUGCACUCCGGAUGUGCUGACCCUGUGAUUUCCCCAAAUGCGGGGAACGCGACUGCAUAAUUCAUGGUAGUGGGGCACUGCGCUUGCAUAUUCCCUGA
rnacentral:snRNA from 1 species